rnacentral:ncRNA from 1 species
AAUAAAUUUUUUAUGGUUUAAAAAUUUUAUUAAUAAUUUAUUUUACAUAUAAAUUUUAGUGUUAUAUUUAUUUUAUUUUAAUAAUAAAUUAUAUAAUUAAUGUAGUAAUUAAUAUUAAAUAUUUAAGAAAUUAAGAUUUAGUGAUAUUAAAAUUAAUAACAAAUUUUGUGCCAGCAGUUGCGGUUACACAAAGAUUAAAUUGAAUUUUAUUAGUAAUUAAUAAAUAAUUUAAAAUAAAAUAAUAAAAAUUUUAAAUUAUUAGGUGAAAUUUUAAUUUAAUAAAAUAUUAUUUAAUUAAUUAUGAUUUAAUAAAUUUUAUAAAAAACUAGGAUUAGAUACCCUAUUAUAAAAAAUUAAAAUUAAUUUUACUAAAAAAGUAAAUAAUUAUUUAUUGAAACUUAAAUAAUUUGGCGGUAUUUUAGUUCAUUUAGAGGAAUCUGUUUAAUAAUUGAUAAUCCACGAAUAAAUUUACUUAAUUUAUAAUUUUGUAUAUCGUUGUUAAAAAAAUAUUUUUUAAUAAAAAUAAUAUUUAAAAAUUUUUAUUAUAAAUUAAAUCAGAUCAAGAUGCAGAUUAUAAUUAAGAAUAUAAUGGAUUACAAUAAAUUUAUUUAAAUGAAUAUUAAUUUGUAAAAAUUAAUUGAAAGUGGAUUUAAGUGUAAUUUUAUUUAUUUUAAUAAAAUGAUUAAAAAUUAAAAUAUGUACAUAUUGCCCGUCGCUUUCAUAUAAUAAUAAAUUGAAAUAAGUCGUAACAAAGUAGGGGUACUGGAAAGUGUUCCUAGAAAGAA